rnacentral:rRNA from 1 species
AUGGCGAGAGGACUGGAUUCAGAUUAUAUUGGUUCUAUUUCGCUCAUGGAUGGAUUUGAUAUGGGUAUCACGUUUGAUGGGUUUGGAGAAAAUAUGAAGAAGUUCAUGGAGUUACCGAUCAAAUAUCUUGAUUCUGCUCACGAUAAAGCUGUUGAGCUAGUUGAGGAUAUCCAUGCGCUGAUUUACGCUCACUCUCCUGAUGAUAAAUUUCCGGACAAAGACCAUGGGACAUUAACUGAUCCAUCUAGUAACGACCAUUCUCUCGGCUCAACUGCUACUGAUGUUCAUGAAACAGAGUCGGUUUCAUCUACAAGUCCAGCCAUGUGUGCUUCUGAAGACCCCAUUUCACUUGAGAGAACUGCUGACACCAAGGAGGAAGUUACUUUUUGCAAUUCAGAGGAUCUCUCAGAUAACUGCACUCCUGAAAAUCACAAUUCACUAGGGGGUUCUGAUAGCAGUGACGAGGAAAUUAUAUUAUGGAAUCAAUGGAAUUCUGUAACAUCACGACAAUAUCCUGAACAAGCCACCGUAGUCCAAGAUUAUAUAUCUGAAGAAGCAAACGGAAAUAAAAUCAUCGAGCAAGUUGAACUCCAUGGUUCAGGACAUUCAGUUGCUUUUGAUGGAGCAAUUCUGCUUGGAAAGGUAAAUGGUGAAGAGCAAUCAGAAUUAUGCAGUGCGAACAGCCAUGAAGAAUCAACAAAGCACGGUUACAUAAAGAAUUUGUCUGUUGGGACUGUUUCACAUUACUUGAGUGCAGAGGUGUUCACUGGUGCUGAUGAUCCAAAUAUGUCUACUGACGAGACCACGGAUUUUGUUAAUGUAGACCUCCGGGUUGGCCAGGAGCUGAUGAAAUAUAACAAAGCAGAUGCAUCCUCAGUUCCUCAACCUAAAAACACAUCAUUCAAGAAAGUGUUGAUGAGGAGCUUGUCAAAUAAACUCCGGUGGUCAAAGAAGGAUAUGAAUGUGCAUCAGGCUGUCCCCUUUAGACCACAGAAAUCAGUAGAUAUUUGCUAUGAAGUCGUUUGUUCAUCAGAUGGUCUGGAGGAUGAUUGGGAACUCUUGUAA